GAGCAACAGUGAAAAAACAUGAAAAAGCACUGGCCCUGGACUCAGGAAAUUGGCUGAGAAUUUCAUUUCUGCUGCUUGUCAAUUGGAUAAAUGUAAUUUCUUUGAGAUUCCAUUUUCUCCCAUUUGGAAUGGUGAUAAUGACACCUAUUCUGCCCACUUUAUACAUUGGCUGUGAGGAUGGAAGUCUAUCCCUGAAAGAAAAGAGGAAAUGCAAUUAGACACGAAGCUUAUUGGAAGAAGGCUUAGAAAUGGAGUGGACAUGCAAAAGGGGACCAACCCAAACAUUUGCUAAAUUUCUGCCUGAAUUGUUUGGAGUCUUUUUAUGGAUGAAAGAUGCGUGCUUCACAACCUCCUCACUGCUGGACCUGGGUGGUAUGUCUUGAAAAGUCCUGGUUGCCACAUUAACCCUCACUAUAGCAUUGACCAUGGAAGCCAUGGAACCAUCUGCCAUGGAACCUCUUUGGAUGACUAGGUAGGAUGAGGUGACAGAAGCAGCAUUCAUGCUCAUCCAUUCUCCUCGAGUGGGACUCCAUUGCCAACUUCAAGAAC